ACACAUGCAAGUCGAACGAGAGAGAGGAAGCUUGCUUCCUCAAUCGAGUGGCGAACGGGUGAGUAACGCGUGAGGAACCUGCCUCAAAGAGGGGGACAACAGUUGGAAACGACUGCUAAUACCGCAUAAGCCCACAGCUCGGCAUCGAGCAGAGGGAAAAGGAGCAAUCCGCUUUGAGAUGGCCUCGCGUCCGAUUAGCUAGUUGGUGAGGUAACGGCCCACCAAGGCGACGAUCGGUAGCCGGACUGAGAGGUUGAACGGCCACAUUGGGACUGAGACACGGCCCAGACUCCUACGGGAGGCAGCAGUGGGGAAUAUUGCACAAUGGGGGAAACCCUGAUGCAGCGACGCCGCGUGGAGGAAGAAGGUCCUCGGAUUGUAAACUCCUGUUGUUGAGGAAGAUAAUGACGGUACUCAACAAGGAAGUGACGGCUAACUACGUGCCAGCAGCCGCGGUAAAACGUAGGUCACAAGCGUUGUCCGGAAUUACUGGGUGUAAAGGGAGCGCAGGCGGGAAGACAAGUUGGAAGUGAAAUCUAUGGGCUCAACCCAUAAACUGCUUUCAAAACUGUUUUUCUUGAGUAGUGCAGAGGUAGGCGGAAUUCCCGGUGUAGCGGUGGAAUGCGUAGAUAUCGGGAGGAACACCAGUGGCGAAGGCGG
rnacentral:rRNA from 1 species